UACGUAGGGUGCGAGCGUUAAUCGGAAUUACUGGGCGUAAAGCGUGCGCAGGCGGUUUUGUAAGUCAGAUGUGAAAUCCCCGAGCUCAACUUGGGAACUGCGUUUGAAACUACAAGACUAGAAUAUGUCAGAGGGGGGUAGAAUUCCACGUGUAGCAGUGAAAUGCGUAGAGAUGUGGAGGAAUACCAAUGGCGAAGGCAGCCCCCCUGGGAUAAUAUUGACGCUCAUGCACGAAAGCGUGGGGAGCAAACAGG
rnacentral:rRNA from 1 species